rnacentral:rRNA from 1 species
UAGGGAAUAUUGCAAAAUGGGCGAAAGCCCGAUGCAGCAACGCCGCGUGGGCGAUGAAGGCCUUCGGGUCGUAAAGCCCUUUUUGAGGGGAUGAGGAAGGACAGUACCCUCAGAAUAAGCCUCGGCUAACUACGUGCCAGCAGCCGCGGUAAAACGUAGGAGGCGAGCGUUAUCCGGAUUUACUGGGCGUAAAGCGCGUGCAGGCGGAUUGGAGAGUUGGAUGUGAAAGCUCCCGGCUUAACUGGGAGAGGUCGUUCAAUACUUCCAGUCUUGAGUGCAGGAGAGGGAAGUGGAAUUCCAGGUGUAGUGGUGAAAUGCGUAGAUAUCCGGAGGAACACCAGUGGCGAAAGCGGCUUCCUGGACUGUAACUGACGCUCAGACGCGAAAGCUAGGGUAGCAAACG